ensembl:lncRNA
GGUGGGCAGAUCACCUGAGGUCAGAAGUUCAAGACCAGCCUGACCAACACGGAAAACCCUGCCUCUGCUAAAGAAUACAAAAUUACCCGGAUGUGGUGGCGCAUGUCUGUAAUCCCAGGUACUCAGGGGGCUGAGACAGCAGAAUCGCUUGAACCCGGCAGGCAGAGGUUGCGGUGAGCCCAGAUCAUGCCAUUGUACCCUAGCCUGGGUGACAAGGGUGAAACUCCAUCUCAGAAAAAAAAAAAGUAAAAUGAAGCCAGGUGUCAUGGCUCAUACCUGUAAUCCCAGCACUUUGGGAGACCGAGGCAGGUGGAUCACUUGUGGAGUUGGAAACCAGCCUGGCCAACAUGGUGAAACCCUGUCUCUGCAAAAAAUACAAAAAUUAGCCAGGUGUGGUGGGUGGGUGCCUGUAAUCCCAGCUACUUGGGAGGCUGAGGCAGGAGAAUCACUUGCACCUGAGGGUGGAUGUUGCAGUGAGCCAAGAUCACGCCACUGCACUCUAGCCUGGGCAACAGAGCAAGACUCUGUCUCAAAAAAAACAAAAACAAAAACUAUCACAUUGGGGUUUAAGAUCCAACAUAUGAAUUUUGGAGUGACAUAUAUUUAAACCAUAGCAUUCCACCCCCAGCCCCCCAAAACUCUUGUCCUUCUCACAUACAAAAUGCAUUCAUUCCAUCCCAAUAGCCCCCAAAGUCAUAAUUUGUUCCAGCAUCAACUUUCAAAUCUAAGUACAAAGUCUCACCUAAAUAUCAGUUAAUAAAUAUAUGAAUCAGACUCAAGGUAUAAUUCAUCCUGAGGCAAAUUGCUCUCUAGCUGUGAGUCUGUGAAAUCAAACAAAUUUAUGUGCUGCCAAAAUACAAUGGCAGAACAGGCAUAAGAUAGACAUUCCCAUUCCGAAAGAGAGAAAUCAGCAAGAAAGAAGGAUUAACAUGUCCCAAGUAAGUGUAAAAGUCAACAAGGCAAACAACGUUAAAUCUUGAGGCUUGAGAAUAAUUUUUGUUUAUUUUUAUUUUAUUUAUUUAUUUAUUUGAGACGGAGUUUCGCUGUUGUUACCCACACUGGAGUGCAAUGGCACGAUCUCGGCUCACCGCAACCUCUGCCUCCUGGGUUCAAACAAUUCUCCUGCCUCAGCCUCCCGAGUAACUGGAACUACAGGCGUGCACCACCAUGCCCAGCUAAUUUUUGUAUUUUUAGUAGAGACGGGGUUUCACCUUGUUGACCAGGAUGGUCUCGAUCUCUUGACCUUGUGAUCCACCUGCUUCGGCCUCCCAAAGUGCUGGGAUUAUAGGUGUGAGCCACUGCGCCCAGCCUAUUUUUAUUUUUUGAGACAGAGUCUUGCUCUGUCACCCAGGCUGGAGUGCAGUGGCGUGAUCUUGGCUCACUGCAACCUCCACCUCCCUGGUUCAAGCAAUUCCCCUGCCUCAGCCUCCUGAGUGGGUGGGAUUACAGGCGCGUGCCACCAUGCCCAGCUAAUUCUUUUGCAUUUGUAGUAGAGACAGGGGUUUCACCAUGUUGGUCAGGCUGGUCUUGAACUCCCGACCUCGUGAUCCGCCUGCCUCAGCCUCCCAAAGUGCUGGGAUUACAGGCGUGAGCCACUGCACCCAGCCAAGAAUAAUCUUUGACUCUAUGUCCUG